AUGAAUGAAGGACAGGGACUCAAGGUAAAUUCUCAGUCAAUAAAGCGUGUCGAGUCCAGGGGAGGCCGUCAGCCUCACUCGGAGCUGCCCCUCGUGCAUCCUCCUCACUCCUUGCUUGCCCCACCUCAGCUGUCUCUGCUCUUUCCCCCUGUCCUGCCUCUGCCUCCCUCACAGGCCUGGCACAGGCAUGUCCAUCAGCACCUAUGACCGCUGCUUGUCCCUGUUCGUUCACCGACAGAGCAGACACUUACCCAGUGCCGUGGUAUUCAGUCCCCGCUUUUUGUUCAACUCUCACUCCCUGCUCCCAGCUGCCCUGGCCUCCUGGCAGUGUCUGCCCCCCGCAUUUAUCCCCACUGUUCCCUCUUCUGCAAUAUCCUGACCCCAGAUGUCUGCUGUGCUGAGUCCUUUCCCCCUUCAAGUCUUUGUUAAAAUAUCAGCUCCUCAAUGAAGCCCGCCCUGGUUGCUCUGUUCAAUACUGUGACUUGCAGCUUUCCCCCUUGCUGCCCACAGUACCAGUCCCUUACAGGACUUACAUGUAUCUGAUCACAGCACCACCCCCUUCUAACACACUCUAGAAUGUCCUGGGUUGUUAUGAGGUAGGGUGCCUCCUACCCCUACCCCUUCCCCUUUGGGGACAGUAAGUCCAGCACAGGGAUUUCUGUGGGCUGGCCACUUGUAUCCACCACAGAGAGCCAGGAAAAGCCUCAAUGCAUAUGUGCUGCCUGAAGCAAUGUGCCUGCCUCCCUGAUAGACUGUGAGACCCCUGAGGGUCCUGUUCUUCUUGUCCUUGGGGCAGGCCCUCCCUCCACGCAGGGAGAAGGCCUCAAGGUGUGGCUGCCUCAGUUUCAGCCACACCUCCAGCCCAGCAGCUCCGUGACCUGGGACUCAGGAGUCACCUGGCUUCACUUCAAAAUGUAAACGCCUGUCUUUAAAGGAAUGUAGAUAUUUUCAAUGUUUAGACUUUACUUUCGGCCUCAAGUUUUUUGGUACCCACAUUGAGUACGAAUUGUUGUAGCCUCUGAAAUAUGAGUUCACAAUUUUUGAUGAAUUUGGUUGUGCCAAUGUGAAACAACGUGAAACAUACUGGAGUGUGACAUCAAGUGGGCCUUAGGAAGCAUUACUAGGAACAAAGCUGGUGGAGUUGACGGAAUCCUGGCUAUUUCAAAUGCUAAUGGGAUGAUGCUGUUAAAGUGCUGCACUCAGUAUGCAAGCAAAUUUGGAAAACUCCUCAGUGGCCACAGGACUGGAAAGGUCAGUUUUUAUUCCAAUCCCAAAGAAGGGUGAUGCACUGGACACCCAACACCAAACAAUCCACCAAACUGAAACACUAGAGACUCAAUAAAUGAGGCAAGACACAAGAAAUCA
rnacentral:lncRNA from 1 species